rnacentral:tRNA from 1 species
GCCGGUGUGGCGGAACGGCAGACGCGCCUGACUCAAAAUCAGGUGGGCGCAAGCCCGUGGGGGUUCGAUUCCCUCCACCGGCA